CUGGCCCCCGUGCUUCCACAAGCAACACCAAAGCUGCUUUGGCUACAGCCUCACAUUGAUUUAUAGUUCAUCGUUGGGAAUGAGUUCGCUGCUCAUGAUGCUAUUGCGGAUAUUGCGGCCCUAGUCGAAGCUCGCCCUGAUGCCAGUAUCCUGUAGCACUCUGUCAAAUUUGCAUCAGCAUUUUCGGCGAUGGAGUUUGCAGAACAUCAGCAAAAGCGGCUGGCCACCCUUCAACCGUUGGUCCAAGCAACGUGCUGCUCUAAAUCAGUUGCAGUGCGGGCAGCUGCUAGUGGGUUGGUGAUGAAGCACUUUGUCUUGUCCUACAAACGAAAUGGUGAGCCAGCCAUUUCCAGACUGAUGAAGGAGCAAGUCAGAGGUAAGAAGCGGGUGACAGCCUCAAGGAAGAUUAUAUUAGCGGUGGCUGAACACCUAGCCAAGAACCAGCAGCAACCCAACUGUAAGGAACGCCCUGUGGCACAGCGCUUCACUUGUUUGUGCGCACCGUAAAAUACCAUCAUUUUGCCAGUGUGGGAACACGUUCUAGCUCGCAUAGUUGAAGAACAAGAGGACUCAAUGUUUUCUGAUUCGUUACAACAUGUCAGCUUUCAUUGUAGUUUGAUAUGGGGCUGUGCUAAGCGCUGUCACAGCUACAUGUGUAGUGUAUCCACUCCAAACCCCAUGCCCGGGAGAUUUCCGUCAAAUUUGUCUAAAUCGCAACUUGUACUCUUGACCCUUCCUUACUUUUUGGUCCCGUAUAUCCAUAAUCACUCUACUCUAGUUUCUGCCGAUCCCGCGUACCCGCGCGCGGUGUUCUCACGCACCGUAUUGCGUGGUACGAUAAUGUUGUACUUUCCUAUGCCGCGUACCCAUUUUGGCUUUCUUCUCCCUUUUUAUGUAUUCUCCCUUCGACAAGAAGUGCUUCUCUUCCCUUGGUAGUUAGAAGACGGUUGUCGUUUUUUCUCUCUGAACUUCAGUUUAUCCAUGUAAUUCUGGUGCCCCUGG